CAGUAGCCACGGUAAUACGUAGGUGGCAAGCGUUGUCCGGAAUUAUUGGGCGUAAAGGGCUCGCAGGCGGUUUCUUAAGUCUGAUGUGAAAGCCCCCGGCUCAACCGGGGAGGGUCAUUGGAAACUGGGAAACUUGAGUGCAGAAGAGGAGAGUGGAAUUCCACGUGUAGCGGUGAAAUGCAUAGAGAUGUGGAGGAACACCAGUGGCGAAGGCGACUCUCUGGUCUGUAACUGACGCUGAGGAGCGAAAGCGUGGGGAGCGAACAGGAUUAGAUACCCGGGUAGUCCCUGUCUCUUAUAC
rnacentral:rRNA from 1 species